rnacentral:rRNA from 1 species
UACGUAGGGUCCGAGCGUUGUCCGGAAUUAUUGGGCGUAAAGAGCUCGUAGGCGGUUUGUCGCGUCUGCUGUGAAAUCCCGAGGCUCAACCUCGGGCCUGCAGUGGGUACGGGCAGACUGGAGUGCGGUAGGGGAGAAUGGAAUUCCUGGUGUAGCGGUGGAAUGCGCAGAUAUCAGGAGGAACACCGGUGGCGAAGGCGGGUCUCUGGGCAGUAACUGACGCUGAGGAGCGAAAGCGUGGGUAGCAAACAGG